rnacentral:rRNA from 1 species
UUAGCGGCGGACGGGUGAGUAACACGUGGGUAACCUGCCUGUAAGACUGGGAUAACUCCGGGAAACCGGAGCUAAUACCGGAUAGUUCCUUGAACCGCAUGGUUCAAGGAUGAAAGACGGUUUCGGCUGUCACUUACAGAUGGACCCGCGGCGCAUUAGCUAGUUGGUGAGGUAACGGCUCACCAAGGCGACGAUGCGUAGCCGACCUGAGAGGGUGAUCGGCCACACUGGGACUGAGACACGGCCCAGACUCCUACGGGAGGCAGCAGUAGGGAAUCUUCCGCAAUGGACGAAAGUCUGACGGAGCAACGCCGCGUGAGUGAUGAAGGUUUUCGGAUCGUAAAGCUCUGUUGUUAGGGAAGAACAAGUGCAAGAGUAACUGCUUGCACCUUGACGGUACCUAACCAGAAAGCCACGGCUAACUACGUGCCAGCAGCCGCGGUAAUACGUAGGUGGCAAGCGUUGUCCGGAAUUAUUGGGCGUAAAGGGCUCGCAGGCGGUUUCUUAAGUCUGAUGUGAAAGCCCCCGGCUCAACCGGGGAGGGUCAUUGGAAACUGGGAAACUUGAGUGCAGAAGAGGAGAGUGGAAUUCCACGUGUAGCGGUGAAAUGCGUAGAGAUGUGGAGGAACACCAGUGGCGAAGGCGACUCUCUGGUCUGUAACUGACGCUGA